rnacentral:rRNA from 1 species
ACGUAGGGGGCGAGCGUUGUCCGGAAUUACUGGGCGUAAAGGGUGCGUAGGUGGCCUUUUAAGUUGGAUGUGAAAUACCCGGGCUUAACUUGGGGGGUGCAUCUAAUACUGGAGGGCUAGAGUGCAGGAGAGGAAAGCGGAAUUCCUAGUGGCGAGGUGAACAGCGUAGGUAUUAGGAGGAGCACCAGUGGCGAAGGCGGCUUUCUGGACUGUAACUGACUCUGCGGAACGACGGCGUGGGGAGCGAACAG